ACACCCUUUGUCUAAGAUCAAGUGUAGUAUCUGUUCUUAUCAGUUUAAUAUCUGAUACAUCCUCUAUCCAAAGACAGUAUAUUAAAUGGAAUUUUGGAGCUGGAAGAAUCAAAUAGAAUAGGAACUUGUUCUGUCCUCUCCAUGCAUCGACCUGGUUUUGAAGUACCUCUAGGAAUGAGGCACCCCCU